rnacentral:rRNA from 1 species
UACGUAGGGUGCGAGCGUUAAUCGGAAUUACUGGGCGUAAAGCGUGCGCAGGCGGUUGGUUAAGUCUGAUGUGAAAGCCCCGGGCUCAACUUGGGGAUGGCAUUGGAAACUGGCUGGCUAGAGUGUGGCAGAGGGGGGUGGAAUUCCGCGUGUAGCAGUGAAAUGCGUAGAGAUGCGGAGGAACACCGAUGGCGAAGGCAGCCCCCUGGGCUGACACUGACGCUCAGGCACGAAAGCGUGGGGAGCAAACAGG